rnacentral:rRNA from 1 species
GAUGAACGCUAGCUACAGGCUUAACACAUGCAAGUCGCGGGGCAUCAUGGAGGUUGCUUGCAAUUUCUGAUGGCGACCGGCGCACGGGUGAGUAACGCGUAUCCAACCUUCCCAUUACUACGGCAUACCCCGUUGAAAGGCGGCCUAAUUCCGUAUGCAGUCCGAAGCAGUCAUCUAAUUUGGACGAAAGGUAUAUUCUAUCGGUAAUGGAUGGGGAUGCGUCCGAUUAGCCAGCCGGCGGGGUAACGGCCCACCGGGGCAUUGAUCGGUAGGGGUUCUGAGAGGAAGGUCCCCCACACUGGAACUGAGACACGGUCCAGACUCCUACGGGAGGCAGCAGUGAGGAAUAUUGGUCAAUGGGCGUAAGCCUGAACCAGCCAAGUAGCGUGCAGGAUGACGGCCCUAUGGGUUGUAAACUGCUUUUAUGCGGGGAUAAAGUUGGGGACGUGUCCCUUUUUGCAGGUACCGCAUGAAUAAGGACCGGCUAAUUCCGUGCCAGCAGCCGCGGUAAUACGGAAGGUCCGGGCGUUAUCCGGAUUUAUUGGGUUUAAAGGGAGCGUAGGCAGUUUUUUAAGCGUGCUGUGAAAUGUACCGGCUCAACCGGUGAUGUGCAGCGCGAACUGGGAAUCUUGAGUACGCAGUAAGCAGGCGGAAUUCGUGGUGUAGCGGUGAAAUGCUUAGAUAUGACGAAGAACUCCGAUUGCGAAGGCAGCUUGCGGGAGCACAACUGACGCUGAAGCUCGAAAGUGCGGGUAUCGAACAGG